CUUGUACUCCCUCCGUCCGUAAAUACUUGUCAUUGAAAUGGAUGUAUCUAGAUGUAUUUUAGUUCUAGACACAUCCAUUUUGAUGACAAGUAAUUCCGGACGGAGGGAGUACUUG
rnacentral:pre_miRNA from 1 species